rnacentral:rRNA from 1 species
AUCAACGCUGGCGGCGUGCCUAACACAUGCAAGUCGAACGCGAAGGAGGUCUUCGGAUCUCUGGAGAGUGGCGCACGGGUGCGUAACACGUGGGAAUAUGCCUUUUGGUACGGAACAACGUCUGGAAACGGACGCUAAUACCGUAUGGUCCCUUCGGGGUAAAGAUUUAUCGCCAAAAGAGUAGCCCGCGCUGGAUUAGCUAGUUGGUGAGGUAAUGGCUCACCAAGGCGACGAUCCAUAGCUGGUCUGAGAGGACGAUCAGCCACACUGGGACUGAGACACGGCCCAGACUCCUACGGGAGGCAGCAGUUAGGAAUAUUGGACAAUGGGGGCAACCCUGAUCCAGCCAUGCCGCGUGAGUGAUGAAGGCCUUCGGGUUGUAAAGCUCUUUAGCCGAUGAUUAUAAUGACUGUAGUCGGAAAAUAAGCCCCGGCUAACUUCGU